rnacentral:rRNA from 1 species
GAUGAACGCUGGCGGCGUGCCUAAUACAUGCAAGUCGAGCGAACAGAUGAGAAGCUUGCUUCUCUGAUGUUAGCGGCGGACGGGUGAGUAACACGUGGGUAACCUACCUAUAAGACUGGGAUAACUCCGGGAAACCGGGGCUAAUACCGGAUAAUAUUUUGAACCGCAUGGUUCAAUAGUGAAAGACGGUUUCGGCUGUCACUUAUAGAUGGACCCGCGCCGUAUUAGCUAGUUGGUAAGGUAACGGCUUACCAAGGGGACGGUACGUAGCCGACCUGAGAGGCGGAUCGGCCACACUGGAACUGAGACACGGUCCAGACUCCUACGGGAGGUAGCAGUAGGGAAUCUUCCGCAAUGGGCGAAAGCCUGACGGAGCAACGCCGCGUGAGUGAUGAAGGUCUUCGGAUCGUAAAACUCUGUUGUUAGGGAAGAACAAAUUUGUUAGUAACUGAACAAGUCUUGACGGUACCUAACCAGAAAGCCACGGCUAACUACGUGCCAGCAGCCGCUGUAA